rnacentral:lncRNA from 1 species
GCAUGCUGCUUGGGCUGGAGGAGUGUUCCCUGGUAUAGUCAGGAGGAAACAGACCUAAGCACUGGGGACACUAACUCUGUGAGCAGGGCAGAGAGGCUGGAGAUGGACCAUCCAUGGGAAACAGGACCCAGCUUGGGCCCCGCCACUCCAGACAACAUCUAGGGGGCCCUUCCAAGGGAUGCCGCAGAGCCCGGCAUCAUCCCUUCCUGCUCACCGGUGUGGACCCAGCAGUGCCCAGAUGGGGCUGCAAGUGCUUGCUUGGCAAAGGCCACCUUGCCCAUGAAUCACCACGACCCAUGUCCCCAUGUCCUAGAGCUAUUCCUGCCAUCCUCUUCAUCCUCUUCGAGCACCAGCCUUAAUAAGCCCAUUGCCAGGCACCACCUCCUGGUUACCAGGAUUUCAGGCAAGGAGUUUUCUAUACAAUCUUCCUAUAAUGAAAGCGUAAAACCCUUUCAUCUACACUGGCCAGGAGGUUCCAGGAAGGAAGGCUUCAGGGAGAAGGUUCUCUGCUCACUUGUGACCCGUUAUCGCAGGGCGGUCGGCCAGGAUGGAUUUACAGCUCGUUGA